GGUUACUGUUAAAUCCAUAAAAAUGCCGCAAUAAAUUUCAAUUAUUCUCUGGUGGGAUGGUGACUCGUUCCUUUUGUUUUGCUUUUCCCGAUUCCUGUGGCCAUAUUCUUCUAAUCUUCUUUCCAUGCUUUUGGAUUUGUUAGAUCUCUUCUUAUGGAGUCCCUUAUGGAAUAUUAAUUGAUAAGGCACCUUUGUUUAAUUGACUUUUGAUUCACCGGACCUUCUCCUACUGAUCUGAAAAUAUGAGGGGUCACCUGGCAUAAUCCCAGAAUCUCCUUUACCUGUUAUGGAAUAUAUUAAAGCAGGAAAGUAACUUCAAGUACAGCAGCUGGUUAAAGGGAAAGUAUAAGCUUGCCAGUAAGGAAUCACAAUUCAGGACAGAUAGAAGAAGCCGAUGCUUGCUGAGGAAGAACCUAUUUCUUGCUUCCAAUCCGGACCCACGGCUGGUUGGAUCCACCACUCAUAAUUAUCGGUAACAACGAUACAUCUUCAAAGCUCAAAGAAUAAAAAGAUACACCCACGAAUAUGGCUUCUGGUUUGUCAACUGGCAGAAGUGAAUCUGUGGCUUGAGAUGGCAAUGCUUUGGAGAUCAAUUAUUGGAUAUUGAUUCCUGUGAUCAAGCUCCUGGCAGGAACCCGAGAUGUCCGAAACUUGAAACAUUUUUGUUGUUGGCCAUUGUGGCCUUCCUUUCUGCUUUUUAUUCUCUUUCUUUCUUCUUCAUUUCUUUCUCUCCCUUGUGAAAUUUAGCUUUCCUCUGUUCAUUUUGGAUAUGGAUUACAGACUAAAAGCUAACAACCCCUUUGGAAUAUGUUUCUUGAAGCUUUGUUGCUUGCUUUCUUAUUA